UCUGGAUCGACGACCGCGGUAUACUUUUCCGAGAAGUAAGGUAGAUACUUAUCUGUGAUUAAAUCUAUUAACAUGUUAUCAGAAGCCGUUGUUUUUACGAUUAAUAUGUAACAUUAUGGUUCUGAGAAUGAACCGAAACGGCAAAAUACCAAAUAUAUUAUAGGCAACAUGAAAACCCGAAACUGAGUGAAAUUUUUUUUUAGGCACCAGAGAUUAUUAUAUACGUUAUGUAAAAACGAAAAUUCCGAAAUGUCGAUUAUAAUGUAUACGCUUUAUACAAAGUAAUAAUUCUUUCGUAAUGGAUAGGAUUUCUCGGUGAAAUAAUUAAUUAAUCCGUCGUGCUGGCGAAGGCGCUCAUUACACAAAUAGCGUUUCAAAGUGACCUCGAUAUCGAAUUACUACCGAUACUAUUAAUACCUACAAUAUUGAGAAUACUAAUACGAGCACUAUGAUUUUCCGGAGAUCAGGUCAAGU